UUCAAGGCUCUUUUCAGAGCCAUCCACUUUUUCACAAGAAAAGCUG
rfam:Tupaia chinensis contig173108, whole genome shotgun sequence.